AGGGAAUCUUCCACAAUGGACGAAAGUCUGAUGGAGCAACGCCGCGUGAGCGAUGAAGGCCUUCGGGUCGUAAAGCUCUGUUGUUAGGGAAGAACAAGUAUCGGAGUAACUGCCGGUACCUUGACGGUACCUAACCAGAAAGCCACGGCUAACUACGUGCCAGCAGCCGCGGUAAUACGUAGGUGGCAAGCGUUGUCCGGAAUUAUUGGGCGUAAAGCGCGCGCAGGCGGUCCUUUAAGUCUGAUGUGAAAGCCCACGGCUCAACCGUGGAGGGUCAUUGGAAACUGGGGGACUUGAGUGCAGAAGAGGAAAGCGGAAUUCCACGUGUAGCGGUGAAAUGCGUAGAGAUGUGGAGGAACACCAGUGGCGAAGGCGGCUUUCUGGUCUGUAACUGACGCUGAGGCGCGAAAGCGUGGGGAGCAAAC
rnacentral:rRNA from 1 species